rnacentral:rRNA from 1 species
AAUUUUCAACAACGAAUCUCUGGGUUCUCGCAUCGAUAAAAAAGGCACCGAAAUGCCAUAAGUAAUGUGAAUUGCAAAAUUCAGUGAAUCUUCGAAUCUUUGAACGCAUCUUCCGCUCCUUGGUAUCCCAAGGAGCAUGCCAGUUUCAGUGUC